rnacentral:lncRNA from 1 species
UAAAAAUGACCUGCAAAAACUUUGCAAUAUGAAUUUUUUCUUCUGUCAGUUUACAGUGGAAAUGCUUGGCAAUUCCUCAAUAUUAUUUUAUUAUGUCAUUUUGAUAUUCACUGGAAAGCAUUUAGUGGGUGGGUAGGGGAGUUGGGGGGAGGGUAUGGGGGACUUUUGGGAUAGUAUUGGAAAUGUAAAUGAGGAAAAUACCUAAUAAAAAUAUUAAAAAUACAAAAAAAUGCCCAAAGAUAUGAUUAUGGAACACUUGAAUUUUUCCAACUGCAUGACUAACCUCUUAAAAGGCAUUCCACAUACAGUGUCAUGUUUUUAUUUGAGAUUUUCCUGGAUGACAUUGGAUGCAAACAAAUAAUGUAUAUUUCUCAAAUAACAAGGGAUAUGUCACUAUGUGCCAUGUGCCUAUUGAGCUGUUUUAAAGCAAUCACAAUCAUACCCAGCAACUCUAGAUGGAUGGUGCUUACAUAUAGAGCAACCAAGUGCUCAAUUAGUUGGCUUGUGCACCUGCUUCUAAACCUCAGGAUUCCAGCAAGAGUGUCAGGCCUCAGUUACAAGAACGAUGUGACUAACAGAUUGAGUUAUGCAUACUGUUCAUUGUUUACUUCUAGCCAUGUGAGAGCUGCACUGUAUUGGUUCUUACUGUGCUCCUCUGAUGGACUGUGUCUGGGUCUUGUGGCCUACUAAAGUGUCUCCAUGGUGAGUAUCUGCUACAGACACAAGAGACAAGUCAAGCAUGUCAACAGUACCCAGUAUUUUCUAAAAGUCUUAUCUGAAGACAGAGCCACACAGGCUAUCCUCAUCGUGUUGUGCACAUUUGUCAUCUCUUACUCAUUCUCUUCCUUUGUGGCUGUAAUUAGGACCUGAUCCAAAUAUCCAAUGCCAUGGGCAAAAAAAUGGUAGAACUGUGCUUUCUGAUAUUUUGUCCCUUUGUUCUUAUCACCAAUAUGAAAUCCAGUUUUAUUCUGUUUUGCCCUGCUUUGGUU